rnacentral:tRNA from 1 species
GCGCCUGUGGUGAAAUGGAUAUCACAGCGGUCUUCGGAACCGUUAUUCUGGGUUCGAGUCCUGGCAGGCGCACCA